rnacentral:ribozyme from 1 species
UUAAAGAUUCGCCCUGUAACGGGAUGGGAUCUGAAGACUCCUGAAGAUUCCAUCCAACUCCUAUUCCGACACGUCCACGUCGUGCAGGGUGGUAACAUGGGCCCGAAUCCAACCUUUGG